GUGCGUGCGCGUGUGAUAUCCUAUAGGUAGUAACUUCAGAAAAACAACAGACUAGGUCAAGUUUUGUCCACCAUUUUAUGUUUUGAAAGAACUGAAGGCUUAAGUACAUCAAAAGGGGGCAACUGUACAAGAAUGGAAGGACAAACAAACAAACUAAAGACUGUGUAGUUAAAGGGAUGUUGAAUCCCAACAGCAGCUCUCCAUGCAUACAAGGAUAAAGAUAAGGUAAGAGCACCAUCCUCAUCCAUAAGUAAAGGUAGUCACAGUCAAAAGGAAGGCAGCUUGAUUCUCCAUAUCAGAAACACUCCUAGUCCUACCAGCUUCUAGUAGGCACCAAACAGGAAAACAACAGUCCAAAACGAGGAGGUACUACGUGAAUUUGUCCAAUAAGAAAAGCUCAUUUCCGUUUUCCAUUACAAAACAUUUUGCUACUGUGUGUCCAAAUGAACACGACCCAGGUAAAGUUGGUUUAUUUGCCAACUACACAAAUCCCUGAUUAGUUUCUCUGUAUCAUCACCAAUCAAUAUUCAGACAGGUCCCUACAAGGAACAAUUUUGUGGGGACAAUUUCAAUCAACCAUGUUUUGUGCGGACAAUUCCAAAUAAGUAUUUAGAAGUGGUCUUUAAGAUUUUUUUUAGAUUAGGGGUGCCAUUGUUGGAUGUACCCAUAAAGCAUCUCAGUUCUAAGCACAUUUCUUAUAUGUUAUAAUCCUACAUUGUGGGGACUUUGAGAAUCAGAAUCAGAGUGCUGGGUUUCAACAGUAAGAACAUAGAAAGACCUUCAGGACUGAGGUAAGUACGGUGUGUGUGUGUGUGUGUGUGUGUGUGUGUGUGUGUGUGGUGUGUGUGUGUUGUGUGUGUGUGUGUGUGUGUGUGUGUGUGUGUGUGUGUGUGUGUGUGCGCUUGUGAGUGUGCAUGACUCCCCUCUUUGAGGUGUAGAAGUGCAUUUGGUACAACAUACUGUGGAAGUGUAUCUGGUACACUAUACUGAUAUAAACUGAUAUAAACUCUUAUGUAGUGACGAAUGAGCCAAUAUUCAAAUAGAAAGAUAAUAUCCCCAAUAUGAAAACUUCAUCCAUGUGUUACAGCUAUCAAUUCAUAAUCCAAACAGUGUGAUGCUGGAAAAUAGUUAGAUAUGUUGUAUUCAAAUGGUGACUGUAAAUAGUAUCAUUGCAAUUCCAUCAAACAACGAGUCAGAUAUCAAUAUACAUUAUAUCUCAUUUCCGCAUACGACAGUUUAUUGUUACAAAAUAUCGAAGUUGUAACCAACUAUUACUGGUGUGUACUGCAAGCAAUGACUGAGUCUAAAAGAUAAUGACCAUGAUAUCUUUAUAUUAACUUUAUCAAUGUAAUUCUAAUUCUCAUCAAUGCUAUUUCUAUUUCAUCGAUCAGUCCUCACUGUGUGCAGAGUGAAUUGUAAAGUAGAAUUGCUUUCAUUGCCAUGUUGUAAGCAACAGCGGUUUGUCAGUGGGUCACCCAUCCUUAGUGUGAUAAAAUAUAUAAGGCACGCUAGAGUCUUCCGGAUAACCUUGCUACAGUACUUUGUAUCUGCAUUUUACACUCUCCAAUGUUUUUUCCAAAUACAUUUUCAGUUUCACAGUCCUUUUCCAUUGUCUUUUUUUUAUUUUUAUUUUUUAUUUUUUAUCUCUACCUAGAAACAGAGUGGUCGGGGUGGUGGAGUGACAAUCUACAUCUCGGGUGAGGGUAGUGUCAGUCAGCCAACGUGGAAAGGAAACAAAGAUGAAAACAGAAAAAGUAUCUUCAGCUCUUGAUGAAAUCAAGCCGACCGCUCUGUAAGGCUUUAGUUGCUACUCAUACAAAGACCAGAAAUAGACGGGGCAGUAAUCUAAGGUCCACGGGGAAUAUCAUGUAUUUAAGUGUCUCUCUCUUCAGUCUCUUCGUCUUUGAGUGACCUGGUGUGGUGUUGGAUGGGUUUAGGGAGGGGUGGGGUGGUGUGGGAUCGGUGACCUCAGAAGAGGUUGGUAAGUGUGGUCUGGGAUGGGGUAGGUAAUAUCAGAAGAGGCUGGUAAGUGUGGUCUGGGAUGGGGUAGGUAAUAUCAGAAGAAGCUGGUAAGUGUGGUCUGGGAUGGGGUAGGUAAUAUCAGAAGAGGCUGGUAAGUUUGGUCUGGGAUGGGGUAGGUAAUAUCAGAAGAGGCUGGUAAGGGUGAUCUGCGAUGGGAUG